UACGGAGGGUGCGAGCGUUGUCCGGAAUCAUUGGGCGUAAAGGGCGCGUAGGUGGCGGGACAAGCGUGCGGUGAAAGCUCGGGGCUCAACCCCGCGUCGGCCGUGCGAACUGUUUUGCUUGAGCACUGUAGAGGCAGGCGGAAUUCCGGGUGUAGCGGUGGAAUGCGCAGAUAUCAGGAGGAACACCGGUGGCGAAGGCGGGUCUCUGGGCAGUAACUGACGCUGAGGAGCGAAAGCGUGGGGAGCGAACAGG
rnacentral:rRNA from 1 species